rnacentral:rRNA from 1 species
UACGUAGGCAGCUAGCGUUGUUCGGAAUUACUGGGCGUAAAGAGUGUGUAGGUGGUGUCGUAAGUUUGGUGUGAAAUCUCCCGGCUUAACUGGGAGGGUGCGCCGGAGACUGCGAUGCUGGAGUAUGGGAGAGGAAAGCGGAAUUCCUGGUGUAGCGGUGAAAUGCGUAGAUAUCAGGAGGAACACCUGCGGUGUAGACGGCUUUCUGGACCAUUACUGACACUGAGACACGAAAGCGUGGGUAGCAAACAGG